UACAGAGGUCUCAAGCGUUGUUCGGAUUCAUUGGGCGUAAAGGGUGUGUAGGUGGCGCGCUAAGUCGGGUGUGAAAUUUCGGAGCUUAACUCCGAAACUGCAUUCGAUACUGGCGUGCUUGAGGACUGGAGAGGAGACUGGAAUUUACGGUGUAGCGGUGAAAUGCGUAGAUAUCGUAAGGAACACCAGUGGCGAAGGCGGCUCACUGGUCCGGUACUGACGCUGAGGUGCGAAAGCGUGGGGGAGCAAACAGG
rnacentral:rRNA from 1 species